rnacentral:rRNA from 1 species
GACGAACGCUGGCGGCGUGCCUAAUACAUGCAAGUAGAACGCAGUUGCGAACGGGUGAGUAACGCGUAGGUAACUGCCUCAUAGCGGGGGGUAACUAUUGGAAACGAUAGCUAAUACCGCAUACUGUGCGAUGGACCUGCGUUGUAUUAGCUAGUUGGUGAGGGAAAGGCUCACCAAGGCGACGAUACAUAGCCGACCUGAGAGGGUGAUCGUCCACACGGGAACUGAGACACGGCCCAGACUCCUACGGGAGGCAGCAGUGGGGAAUAUUCUGCAAUGGACGAAAGUCUGACCGAGCAACGCCGCGUGAGUGAAGAAGGUUUUCGGAUCGUAAAGCUCUGUUGUUAGGGAAGCGGUAUCUAACCAGAAAGCCACGGCUAACUACGUGCCAGCAGCCGCGGUAAUAC